CCUUGAAUUCCCAGGCUCCAGUGAUCCUCCUGCCUCAGCCUCCUGAGUAGCUUGGAUUACAGUUCCAUUGGUGUUGAAGAUUUAGUUGGCAAGGACACUAUCAACUGUGAAUCGGGAAAGUCAAAUUCAACAGAAAAGCAAAAGAAGAAACAUUGAGGCCAUCAAUCUGCAUGUAUCAUUCUGGAGUGGACUUUGGUAGAAAUACUAUAUAUUUAUUAAUGAGUUUCAUGUUGUGGUGACCAGGCCAUCUGCCUAGGCCCUGGAAGACCCUGUCAUGGAAGCCCCUAGGAUUAUCCAAACCUUGCAACAGCUUCUCUGAAGAGUAUUGGCAGCCAGGAUGCAGAGACAGAGACCCCCAAGGGUGGAGACAGGCUGGUCAAGAUGGACCUGGCUAUGCAGGCUCCAGCUGCUUCCACUUCACACACAGUGAAAUCGCUGUCCGCCCCUCUCCCAGCUGUGGCUUCUCUGCACACCCUAAGUUUCAGCCUAAUCUUUCUGCCCCAGCCUCUGCCCUGCCUGGCUACCUCUCUGGCCUUUCCUUCAGAACCUGGGAUUUCAAUCGGCUUCCUCCCUGAACUUUCCUAACUGACUUCAGAGUGAUACACAGGCCCCAUCUGAUGUUACUGUUAUCUUGUCUGAGGGCCAGCCCAUAGCCAAUCAAACACCCAGGAGCGAUCCACUGCCACUAGCUGGCAUUUAGACAGAGAAAGAAGCCCCAGAACAUUUGUGUGUGAGUGUCGAUGUGAGAGUGUGUGUGUGUGAGCAUGUGUGCACGUUUCUGAAUAUGUGAGUGUGGUGUGUGCUGGGAGACUGGAUGCACAAAUGGACAGUGGCCAAAUCAUAUAUGCAAAAACAGAACCCUGACUCCCAACUUGCAGCAACCAAUCCAGGAAACCAAUUCACUAUCUUCAGUAGCAAGUCUAGGAAGUCAGCCUGCUAGAAAUCAAACUUGUAGGAGGUCAGAGCACCAUCUGACAGAUUCCCUAAUUUUAAUCUCCUCUUCUGAUCUAGAAGCAGCCAAAUAUGCACGCCCUCACCAAUCACUAGAACUUGCUGCUGGUUCCCCAUGCCAGCAGCCUCCCUUCAGGCCAUACCUGAGCCUUCCUAUUUUUUUUUUUUUUGAGGUGGAGUCUUGCUCUGUCACCCAGGCUAGAGUGCAAUGGUGGGAUUUCGGCUCACUGCAACCUUUGCCUCUUGGGUUCAAGUGAUUUUCCUGCCUCAG